rnacentral:rRNA from 1 species
GACGAACGCUGGCGGCGUGCUUAACACAUGCCAGUCGAACGGAAAGGCCCUGCUUUUGUGGGGUGCUCGAGUGGCGAACGGGUGAGUAACACGUGAGUAACCUGCCCUUGACUUUGGGAUAACUUCAGGAAACUGGGGCUAAUACCGGAUAGGAGCUCCUGCUGCAUGGUGGGGGUUGGAAAGUUUCGGCGGUUGGGGAUGGACUCGCGGCUUAUCAGCUUGUUGGUGGGGUAGUGGCUUACCAAGGCUUUGACGGGUAGCUGGCCUGGGAGGGUGACCGGCCACAUUGGGACUGAGAUACGGCCCAGACUCCUACGGGAGGCAGCAGUGGGGAAUAUUGCACAAUGGGCGGAAGCCUGAUGCAGCAACGCCGCGUGCGGGAUGACGGCCUUCGGGUUGUAAACCGCUUUCGCCUGUGACGAAGCGUGAGUGACGGUAAUGGGUAAAGAAGCACCGGCUAACUACGUG